rnacentral:rRNA from 1 species
GUGAACGCUGGCGGUAGGCCUAACACAUGCAAGUCGAACGGCAGCACAGUAAGGGCUUGCUCUUACGGGUGGCGAGUGACGGACGGGUUAGGAAUACAUCGGAAUCUACUUUUUCGUGGGGGAUAACGUAGGGAAACUUACGCUAAUACCGCAUCCGACCUACGGGUGAAAGCAGUGUAUCUUCGGACCUUGCGCGAUUCUAUGAGCCGAUGUCGGAUUAGCUUGUUGGCGGGGUAAAGGCCCACCACGGCGACGCUCCGUAGCUGGUCUGAGAGGAUGAUCAGCAAAACUGGAACUGAGACACGGUCCAGACUCCUAGGGGAGGAAGAGGUGGGGAAUAUUGGACAAUGGGGGAAAGCCUGAUCAAGAAAGACGGGGUGGGUGAAGAAGGCCUUCGGGUGGUAAAGCCCUUUUGUUGGGAAAGAAAAGCAGCAGGGUAAUAAGCCGCUGUUCUGACGGUACCUAAAGAAUAAGCACCGGCUAACUUCGUG